rnacentral:rRNA from 1 species
CAUUAUACGGCGAAACUGCGAAUGGCUCAUUAUAUAAGUUAUCGUUUAUUUGAUAGUACCUUACUACUUGGAUAACCGUGGUAAUUCUAGAGCUAAUACAUGCUGAAAAUCCCGACUUACGGAGGGAUGUAUUUAUUAGAUUAAAAACCAAUGCAUGCCCUCUGGGCUCUCUGGUGAUUCAUGAUAACUUCUCGAAUCGCACGGCCUUGCGCCGGCGAUGGUUCAUUCAAAUUUCUUCCCUAUCAACUUUCGAUGUUUGGGUAGUGGCCAAACAUGGUUGCAACGGGUAACGGAGGGUUAGGGCUCGACCCCGGAGAAGGAGCCUGAGAAACGGCUACUACAUCCAAGGAAGGCAGCAGGCGCGCAAAUUACCCAAUCCCGACACGGGGAGGUAGUGACAAUAAAUACUGAUACAGGGCUCUUUUGGGUCUUGUAAUUGGAAUGAGUACAAUUUAAAUCCCUUAACGAGGAACAAUUGGAGGGCAAGUCUGGUGCCAGCAGCCGCGGUAAUUCCAGCUCCAAUAGCGUAUAUUAAAGUUGUUGUGGUUAAAAAGCUCGUAGUUGAACCUUGGGCCUGGCUGGCCGGUCCGCCUCACCGCGUGCACUGGUCCGGCCGGGCCUUUCCCUCUGCGGAACCCCAUGCCCUUCACUGGGCGUGGCGGGGAAACAGGACUUUUACUUUGAAAAAAUUAGAGUGCUCCAGGCAGGCCUAUGCUCGAAUACAUUAGCAUGGAAUAAUGAAAUAGGACGUGCGGUUCUAUUUUGUUGGUUUCUAGGACCGCCGUAAUGAUUAAUAGGGACAGUCGGGGGCAUCAGUAUUCAAUUGUCAGAGGUGAAAUUCUUGGAUUUAUUGAAGACUAACUACUGCGAAAGCAUUUGCCAAGGAUGUUUUCAUUAAUCAGGAACGAAAGUUAGGGGAUCGAAGACGAUCAGAUACCGUCGUAGUCUUAACCAUAAACUAUGCCGACUAGGGAUCGGACGAUGUUAUUAUUUGACUCGUUCGGCACCUUACGAGAAAUCAAAGU